GAGUUUGAUCGUGGCUCAGAUUGAACGCUGGCGGCAUGCCUUACACAUGCAAGUCGAACGGCAGCACGGGAGCUUGCUCCUGGUGGCGAGUGGCGAACGGGUGAGUAAUGCAUCGGAACGUAUCCUGGAGUGGGGGAUAACGUAGCGAAAGUUACGCUAAUACCGCAUAUUCUGUGAGCAGGAAAGCGGGGGACCUUCGGGCCUCGCGCUCUUGGAGCGGCUGAUGUCGGAUUAGCUAGUUGGUGAGGUAAAGGCUCACCAAGGCGACGAUCCGUAGCAGGUCUGAGAGGAUGAUCUGCCACACUGGAACUGAGACACGGUCCAGACUCCUACGGGAGGCAGCAGUGGGGAAUUUUGGACAAUGGGGGCAACCCUGAUCCAGCCAUGCCGCGUGAGUGAAGAAGGCCUCGGUUGUAAG
rnacentral:rRNA from 1 species